GGCAACAUGGCCGAGUGGUUAAGGCGCUAGAAUCAGGUGAUCGAAUGAUUACGUAAUCUAGUCCGAAAGGGCGUGGGUUCGAGUCCCACUGUUGUCA